rnacentral:rRNA from 1 species
AUGAACGCUGGCGGCGUGCUUAACACAUGCAAGUCGAACGAUGAUCUCCAGCUUGCUGGGGGGAUUAGUGGCGAACGGGUGAGUAACACGUGGGUAACCUGCCCUUAACUCUGGGAUAAGCCUGGGAAACUGGGUCUAAUACCGGAUAUGACUCCUCAUCGCAUGGUGGGGGGUGGAAAGCUUUAUUGUGGUUUUGGAUGGACUCGCGGCCUAUCAGCUUGUUGGUGAGGUAAUGGCUCACCAAGGCGACGACGGGUAGCCGGCCUGAGAGGGUGACCGGCCACACUGGGACUGAGACACGGCCCAGACUCCUACGGGAGGCAGCAGUGGGGAAUAUUGCACAAUGGGCGCAAGCCUGAUGCAGCGACGCCGCGUGAGGGAUGACGGCCUUCGGGUUGUAAACCUCUUUCAGUAGGGAAGAAGCGAAAGUGACGGUACCUGCAGAAGAAGCGCCGGCUAACUACGUGC